GAUGAAGAACGUAGCGAAAUGCGAUAAGUAAUGCGAAUUGCAGAAUUCAGUGAACCAUCGAAUCUUUGAACGCACAUUGCGCCCGGCAGUAAUCUGCCGGGCAUGCCUGUCCGAGCGUCAUUUCUGCCCUCGAGCGAGUCCAGCAUCUAGGUGCUGGGCCCGCCCGGCGUUGGGGCACUACGGGAAGCCCUGUGCUGUCCCCCGUAGGCCCCGAAAUGAAGUGGCGGUCCUGCCGCGGCGCCCCCUGCGUAGUAUAACAGCUCGCUUCGGGACCCGGUGGAGGCCUGCCGUCAAACCUUACUCUCUAAGUUUGACCUCGGAUCAGGUAGGGUUACCCGCUGAACUUAAGCAUAUCAAUAAGCGGAGGA
rnacentral:misc_RNA from 1 species